rnacentral:rRNA from 1 species
AUACAGAGGGUGCGAGCGUUAAUCGGAAUUACUGGGCGUAAAGCGCGCGUAGGCGGCUUAUUAAGUCAGAUGUGAAAUCCCCGGGCUCAACCUGGGAACUGCAUCUGAUACUGGUAAGCUAGAGUUUGGGAGAGGGAAGUAGAAUUUCAGGUGUAGCGGUGAAAUGCAUAGAGAUCUGAAGGAAUACCAGUGGCGAAGGCGACUUCCUGGCCUAAAACUGACGCUGAGGUGCGAAAGCGUGGGUAGCAAACGGGAUUAGAAACCCGGGUAGUCC